rnacentral:rRNA from 1 species
GACGAACGCUGGCGGCGUGCUUAACACAUGCAAGUCGAACGGAAAGGCCCUACUUUUGUGGGGUGCUCGAGUGGCGAACGGGUGAGUAACACGUGAGUAACCUGCCCUUGACUUUGGGAUAACUUCAGGAAACUGGGGCUAAUACCGGAUAGGAGCUCCUGCUGCAUGGUGGGGGUUGGAAAGUUUCGGCGGUUGGGGAUGGACUCGCGGCUUAUCAGCUUGUUGGUGGGGUAGUGGCUUACCAAGGCUUUGACGGGUAGCCGGCCUGAGAGGGUGACCGGCCACAUUGGGACUGAGAUACGGCCCAGACUCCUACGGGAGGCAGCAGUGGGGAAUAUUGCACAAUGGGCGGAAGCCUGAGGCAGCAACGCCGCGUGCGGGAUGACGGCCUUCGGGUUGUAAACCGCUUUCGCCUGUGACGAAGCGUGAGUGACGGUAAUGGGUAAAGAAGCACCGGCUAACUACGUG